ACAAGCAGCGGAGCAUGUGGCUUAAUUCGACGCAACGCGAAGAACCUUACCAAGGCUUGACAUCGCCCGGAAAGCAUCAGAGAUGGUGCCCCCCUUGUGGUCGGGUGACAGGUGGUGCAUGGCAGUCGUCAGCUCGUGUCGUGAGAUGUUGGGUUAAGUCCCGCAACGAGCGCAACCCUUGUUAUGUGUUGCCAGCAUGCCCUUCGGGGUGAUGGGGACUCACAGGAGACUGCCGGGGUCAACUCGGAGGAAGGUUAGGAGGAGGUCAAGUCAUCAUGCCCCGUAUGU
rnacentral:rRNA from 1 species